rnacentral:rRNA from 1 species
UACGGGGGGGGCAAGCGUUGUUCGGAAUUACUGGGCGUAAAGGGCUCGUAGGCGGCCAACUAAGUCAGACGUGAAAUCCCUCGGCUUAACCGGGGAACUGCGUCUGAUACUGGAUGGCUUGAGUUUGGGAGAGGGAUGCGGAAUUCCAGGUGUAGCGGUGAAAUGCGUAGAUAUCUGGAGGAACACCGGUGGCGAAGGCAGGUUACUGGGCAUUAUCUGACGCUGAGGCGCGAAAGCGUGGGUAGCAAACAGG